rnacentral:rRNA from 1 species
AGAGAGAGACAUGCGCGCAUAUCAAUAAGUGGAGGAAAAGAAACUAACAAGGAUUCCCUUAGUAACGGCGAGUGAAGCGGGAAGAGCUCAAAUUUGAAAUCUUCGAAGGUUUUACCUUGACGAAUUGUAGUUUAAAGAAGUGUUUUCUGCUGAAGUUUUGGUAAAAGUUCUUUGGAAUAGGACAUCAUAGAGGGUGAGAAUCCCGUAUUUGACCAUUAUUUUCAGCUUUGUGAUACACUUUCAAAGAGUCGGAUUGUUUGGGAAUGCAGUCCAAAAUGGGUGGUAAAUUUCAUCUAAAGCUAAAUAUUGGCGAGAGACCGAUAGCGAACAAGUACCGUGAGGGAAAGAUGAAAAGAACUUUGAAAAGAGAGUUAGACAGUACGUGAAAUUGUCAAAAGGGAAGCGUUUGACACCAGUGUUGUUUUCUCGAAAAUCAAUUAAAAAUGGCUCGAUUUUGUAUUGUUGAGACCUUAAAAGCUCACUGUACAUUUUUCGUGUCUUUUUUAAUGCACUUUUCGUUUAACAAGUCAACAUCAGUUUCUUUUGUUGUAAAAGGGUCAUUGGAAGGUGGCUUUCUUUUCGGAGAAAGUGUUUAUAGCCUUUGGCCUCUGCAAUCGGAGAGACUGAGGUCUGCAGCGUAGACUCUUCGGGGUUAGAUACAUUUGUGCUAAGUUAUAGCUUUUUAUAGACAACUUGUUGACUAUAAUUAGUCUUGUAGCUUACUCGCUUAUGCUGUUUUACCUACGCUUAGGAUGUUGAGUCGUAGAGCACGCAG